ACCGGCGCACGGGUGCGUAACGCGUAUGCAAUCUACCCACUGCAGAGGGAUAGCCCGUGGAAACAUGGAUUAAUACCUCAUAAUACAGGGAGCCCACCUGGGCAUAUUGUUAAAGCUCCGGCGGCAGUGGAUGAGCAUGCGUCCCAUUAGUUAGUUGGUAAGGUAACGGCUUACCAAGACGAUGAUGGGUAGGGGUUCUGAGAGGAUGAUCCCCCACACUGGUACUGAGACACGGACCAGACUCCUACGGGAGGCAGCAGUAGGGAAUAUUGGUCAAUGGACGCAAGUCUGAACCAGCCAUGCCGCGUGCAGGAAGACGGCCUUCUGGGUUGUAAACUGCUUUUAUCAGGGAAGAAAAUGUCCUUGCGAGGAUAAUUGCCGGUACCUGAAGAAUAAGCACCGGCUAACUCCGUGCCAGCAGCCGCGGUAAUACGGAGGGUGCAAGCGUUGUCCGGAUUUAUUGGGUUUAAAGGGUGCGUAAGCGGCCUAUAAAGUCAGUGGUGAAAGGUAUCAGCUUAACUGAUGAAGUGCCAUUGAAACUUAUAGGCUUGAGUACAGACGAGGUAGGCGGAAUUUAUGGUGUAGCGGUGAAAUGCAUAGAUACCAUAAAGAACACCGAUAGCGAAGGCAGCUUACUAGACUGUAACUGA
rnacentral:rRNA from 1 species